rnacentral:rRNA from 1 species
GAUGAACGCUGGCGGCGUGCUUAACACAUGCAAGUCGAACGGGAAACCUUUUAUUGAAGCUUCGGCAGAUUUAGAUUGUUUCUAGUGGCGGACGGGUGAGUAACGCGUGGGUAACCUGCCUUAUACAGGGGGAUAACAGUCAGAAAUGACUGCUAAUACCGCAUAAGCGCACAGAGCUGCAUGGCUCGGUGUGAAAAACUCCGGUGGUAUAAGAUGGACCCGCGUUGGAUUAGCUAGUUGGUGAGGUAACGGCCCACCAAGGCGACGAUCCAUAGCCGGCCUGAGAGGGUGAACGGCCACAUUGGGACUGAGACACGGCCCAGACUCCUACGGGAGGCAGCAGUGGGGAAUAUUGCACAAUGGGGGAAACCCUGAUGCAGCGACGCCGCGUGAAGGAAGAAGUAUCUCGGUAUGUAAACUUCUAUCAGCAGGGAAGAAAAUGACGGUACCUGACUAAGAAGCCCCGGCUAA